rnacentral:rRNA from 1 species
GACGAACGCUGGCGGCGUGCCUAAUACAUGCAAGUAGAACGCUGAAGAGAGGAGCUUGCUCUUCUUGGCUUGAGUUGCGAACGGGUCAGUAACGCGUAGGUAACCUGCCUGGUAGCGGGGGAUAACUAUUGGAAACGAUAGCUAAUACCGCAUAAUCGUAGAUGUUGCAUGACAUUUGCUUAAAAGGUGCAAUUGCAUCACUACCAGAUGGACCUGCGUUGUAUUAGCUAGUUGGUGGGGUAACGGCUCACCAAGGCGACGAUACAUAGCCGACCUGAGAGGGUGAUCGGCCACACUGGGACUGAGACACGGCCCAGACUCCUACGGGAGGCAGCAGUAGGGAAUCUUCGGCAAUGGACGGAAGUCUGCCCGAGCAACGCCGCGUGAGUGAAGAAGGUUUUCGGACUGAA